rnacentral:lncRNA from 1 species
CGGUCCCAUCUGCCUGAUUCGCCAACAGCCCCACUUUGUGCCUCGCCUCAGCAGGGCCAGGAUUUUCCUUUUUGUCGACACGGCGCAGCGGGGUCCUCCAUCUUCCGGCUGGGGUUACAUCCCCGCUCGUGGGAUCUCCCCACGCACCCACACCCGCGGUGCCGCCCCGCCUCAGCCCCCCCCCCCACAGCGCCGCCCGGCCCCGCCGCACCCUCCCGGCGGCAUCAGCACGCUCCCCCCGCCCUCUCCUCUCCUCUCGCCUGCCCACCCCGUCCCUCCCAUCCCCUUCCGCAGCGCGAGGCGGCGCCACCUCCCCGCCGCUCCCCGGGGCCACCUGCGGCCGCCUGGGCCGUGGGCUCCGCACCUGGCGGGGCCGAAUGGCGGGCGGGCGGACGGACACCUCUCCCCACACGCGCAGCCCCGCACCGCAGUGGAACGCGCGAGGGGCGGGCAGGGCGGGGCGGCCGAGGGCUGGGGCGGGCGGAGGGGGGCACGCGGCCCGGGCAGCCACUGAGCGCGCGCCGGGCGCGUCUCCCCAGCAACGGGCCCGGCUCCCCGGGGCCGCGCCGCCUCCCCCGUCCCGCCCUUCCCUUCCCUCGCCCGUGUGAGGGUCGCCGUCCCCCCGCCCCGCCCCGCCCCGCCCAGACACGGGCGCGGGGGCCGCCCGUUGCCCUCCGCCCCGCUCUCCAGGCCGAGGCUCGGGGUGCGCGGAUGGGAGCUGGGGGGAGGCUCCUGCUCGGCCUGGCUCCCCCCCUCCUUCCCCUCCACACUCCACCCAGCAAUGAUCCAGUGAAACUAGGAGGAGGUGAUUCUCCUCCUCCCUCCCGCUGCUGCUCCCGCUGCUCCGGAGGGGACUGCAGGAAUCCACGCUCCGCUCCCAGGCAGCGCGGCGGGGGGCGCGGGGGCCGCGCGGUCCCCGGCCAUGGGCAAGGACCAGGAGCUGCUGGAGGCCGCCCGCACGGGGAAUGUGGCUCUGGUGGAGAAACUCCUGUCUGGGAGGAAAGGAGGGAUCCUGGGCAGUGGAUCCGGAGCUAUUCCCUUGUCCAGCUUGCUGAGCAUCUGGCGUGGACCAAAUAUAAAUUGCACAGACAGUUCAGGUUAUACUGCUUUACAUCAUGCAGCUUUGAAUGGACACAAGUAAGUACAUCAUGUUUAGUUCUUAUGUAUGAGAAUGGUAUUUAACUUCGUGCUUUAGCAUACCAUUGAAGUACUUGCUGAACGGUGACACAGACUUACUACGGCCC